rnacentral:rRNA from 1 species
UACGGGGGGGGCAAGCGUUGUUCGGAAUUACUGGGCGUAAAGGGUUCGUAGGUGGCUUGCUAAGUCAGACGUGAAAUCCCUCAGCUUAACUGGGGAACUGCGUCUGAUACUGGCGAGCUUGAGUGCAGGAGAGGAACGCGGAAUUCCAGGUGUAGCGGUGAAAUGCGUAGAUAUCUGGAGGAACACCGGUGGCGAAGGCGGCGUUCUGGGCUGCAACUGACACUGAUGAACGAAAGCCAGGGGAGCAAACGGG